GUAUUAUUUUUACUUUCUGUAUCAGAUUAAGACAAAACCUAGUUUUCCUAAGAUUUUAACAUAGUUUUGACAAACGACAACUUAAUCCUAAGAACAGUGUGACUCUCACAGACUGAGCUCUUCCUUGGGGACACGCACCAGCUUGAAGAAAUUUUUGGAUUACCGUUGGAAAUUGGCAAGACAUAUCUGUUCUGGCCUCCUUUCUAUUGAACGUGUAUCUUCAAGCACCCUUGGGGUCUGGCCUAGAAAGCGCCCAAAAUCACCUGAGCAUCAUAAAAUUAGUGCAUGGCUGUCAGAGCAACGCGUGGAGAACACAGCUGCUGUCCUGCUGCCUGAUUUAAUGAGGUUCCGAAAGUAUGUGGACAAGGAUGCUUUCCCUUGGUUACCAUGGAAACAGGACAGGCGCUCGGAGCAAGUGUCAGCAGCAUCGAAAUCAAGAUGAAUCAGCUGAUGGCUCGUCCGUCAUCUGGGGGAGGCGGUGACCACACCGGGGUGGCUCCAGUGUGCACUUUUCAGGUGAGAAGGUAUGAACGAAGAACACAGAUGAGCUGAAACACUGCUGGAGAACUAAGAAAAGGCUUGAACACCAUUCUUCAGAAAGUUCCAAUUUGGCACCAGAAACUUGAAGCAGAAUAACGUUUGGUAAAUAUAGAUCUCUGCCGACUUUUGCAAAGAGGAGGAAUCUUUAACUUCUUGGCUUCAUCUUCUUAAGAUUUUUCUUCCUCUUUGUACAGGGUCAAAUAGAAUUCAUUAGCCAAUUAGCUCAGAGAAAAUAAGGCCGCGUAUGUGCUAUUUCAUGUAGAAAAAGAGCAAAGUGUUCAAUUUUUCUGCUUUUCGGCUGAACUGACAGAUAUUCUUUGUUCUCUAGGAAUGUGAUGAUUUAGGGUAAAAUUCUGGUUUCUGAAUAAUUCAGAUAAUUGCCUCAACCCCACACUUUGCUGGAGUUGGAGAGACUUGACUUCAAAAGGCAGGUGAUCAAAUUAAAAUCACGUUUUGAUGAACCUUAUUUUAAGC
ensembl:lncRNA